UACUUUUUCUUUGCAUGCUAGUUGGAAAGCCAUUUUUUACCCAAGUAACAAUGGUCCAAUUUCUACCUGCAGUGCAGUACCAUUGUAGGUAACAGAGAGAUGCAAAUGUACACAGUGGGAUUCUCUGUGUGACAGACAGUUGUGCUGCCUCCUCCUUCUCUGGCCCCAGACACAGACAGGAAUCUGUUUUUCCUUGGUAAUGAGACCAGGGACAUUUUACUAACUGGAGCUUUGGGACUGGUUGUGCCCCUUCAAGCAGCUGCCUCAGGGCAGAGAGGGGCUGGUGGGGAUCACCAUGGGCCCUGCCCAGAGCACUGGCUCAAGGCAGCACCCACCAGGGGGAAUGUGAGAAUGGGAAACAUUUUGUUUGGGAUUUCUUUUUACCUUUGGUGUUUGUUUCAGUUGUACUGUAGGUUUUUAAUGGAUUCCCACUUUCCCUGUUCUUUCCCCAUAAUGCAAAUCACCUUCCCUAACCCCUGCAGGCACAGGCUGAGGCAGUGGGUCAGACACCACUGGCAGCCCUGUUCUGGCUCAGGGGAGGGCCAGGCCCACCCUUUGGUGCCCUGUCCCACCACAGCUGCCCUAACCCCAGAUUGCUUGGUGGGGUGGGCUCUGUGCCAGGUUUUCAGACUGGGGUGGUGAGGGAAGUUAUAAAUGUCCUGCUGUAGCUGUAGGAGUGUCUGUGCUUGUUAGGGCUGUGUUUCUGGGGCUUCCAGAGGCUUCUGUGCCUGAUGAGCAGCAAGUGGAGCCGUGGGUGCAGCAGAUGCUGGAUACAGCCCAGUCACUGUGACUGCUCGGGCCAGGAGCACACACAGGGUGGGUUUGGGCUGCACAGGUUGGGGUGAGAGGGAGGGCAGAGCUGGGCCUGUCUCUUGCACAGCAUUUGAGCAUUUCUGCUCUGUCUUGCCAGAGGAGAUUUGCCUUUGGGCUGAGCAAACAUUAUGGGGUUGGGGUUUGGCUGUUUUCUAAGAAAGGGGAAAAAAACCUCAUUUUUAACAUGCAGUUUCUGCAGUGUGCAAUUUAAGGAAAGGUGAGGACAUGAGCAAGGUAAUACUGAGUUCACUUCCUGCCCUCCCUGGGGCACAGUGGUGGUGCUGAGGGUGCCUUAAACUAGGCAGAGAUUUUAGGCCAGCUUUGACCAGCCUCUCCAAGUCACAGUGAUUAAUGUCACUGACUGUGCAUCCUUUCUGCCUUGGCCUCACCUCCUUGAAAGGCAAAAUCAUACCUGGUCUGGUCGGGUGUCAGAAAUGAACACUGGGGUGCUGGACAAUGGCUGAAGGACAGACAGUGGCCACUACACCCAUCAGAACCCUGGAGAGGAUAAAUGUAAGCAGUGGUUUUGUCUAGAUUUAUUUACUUCACAUGAUUUUUACUGCUCUAAAGAGUUCCUAUCUUUUCGUUUUAACUCUUUUAAACAGAAUUGCAAAUACAAAUUUAACCUUCUGUUACAACAAUCCCCACAACCAAUCCUGCAGAAGCUUUACAUCCAAAGCAAAAAAAAAAAAAAAAAAAAAGCUGGGGAGGAGGAAGAAUUAAAACAUUGUACCCUCAUCAAAACACAGUUGGGUUGGGGUUUUAACACAUGGAUGCUGAGGUCAGUGUUUUGCUUUGCAGAAUGGGAGCUUGAAAGUCACUUUGCAUUUCUGUGCAAUUAGUUUUUGCUGUCUGCCUGUUAUCCUCAAAACCUUCUUAUGGGCCCUUUUAAAUCUUAAAUGUGAAGGCAGGAAUUUACUGAUUAUCCAGUUAGAAUUUAACAAUUUAAUAGCCCAAAUUAGUGGUUCUGUUACAAGAAAGAAAAAAAAAAAAAAAACAAAAACCUGUUAGUUCAAAUCAAUAAGACAAAACCUCAAAGAAACAGUAAAAUCUGUUAUGCAGGGGAAACCCUUCCUGAAGCCUUCAGCUCCGGGCUGGUGUGGAGCAUCCACUUCCACAUCCCUCAUGACCCUGAGGGGGCAGCUUGCACCUUCCAGAAGCCAGGCCAGGGUGGGAGCAGGAGGGCAGCUGAGGUGAGGGCAGUGCCCAGCCAUGCUCAAUGGUGGUGGUGGCCCUGCGCCUGCUGGGGUUGGUUUUUCCAUCUGUCCAUGGGCAGCCUACACUGCUGCUUUUUGUUGGUCCCUGGUUACUCGGUUUUUCUGUUCUCCCUUGUCCUAAGUUGUUUCUCCAGCUGCUGCCAUGAAGUGGCCUGGGGUUGUGGUUGGCCAUGCCACCUUCCCCAGGAGCUGAAAUGGCUGAAAGCCCCCAGGACAUCGACUCUAAACUAAAGCAAACUCUAAUUACUGCUGACUAAAGAACCACUGGUGUGGCUGAACAAGCUGAAAUCAGCCCAGGUCCAGAGCCUGCGGUCAGGCUGGUGCAGAACCUGGAGCCUUUCAGUGCUUAUAAAUGACAUUUCCUGGGCUGCUGCCUGCUGGAAAACACUGUGACACACCUCCCCAUGUCUGGUGGCUGCUCUGGGCUGCUGCAUGAGGGGAUCUCUGAGGAGCUGGGCUGGCUGGGGAGAAACAUCUGCUUCCGUGUUAUCAAGAUGGUGAUCCAUAGUGUUCUGGUGUGAAAAGGCCUCGUACUUGACAGGGGUGUGGAGGGGGUGAAGGAAAAAAAAUAUUUACAAAGGCCCCGUCCCUGGGAAGGGGAGAACCAUAAAUGGUGGAUUUCCAAGUGUCUCUGUCUUUCAGCCUGCUCUUUGUGCCAUAAAGUGUGUGUUUUAAACAAUGGUGAGGGUCUCAAAAGGCUUUGAGAGCACAGCUACUUCUCAUUUACAAAUGACAAGCUGCCUGUUGUUUUCUGGUGGGCUUGGUAGGGGCUAAGGUAUAGCAGAAUAUCUAAAGUCCACCUUUGCUUUAAACAGAUGCAUUUCUAUCUGCAGGAGUAAGAAUUAUUUCACUUAUCAGCAUAGCUGGACAGUUAUCUAUUUCUUUCUGUUACCAAGGUACUUGUAACUCUCUUGCACUGUUUAUCUAAAGUUGAAAUAUGUUCUUUGAAUCCUUGUAUAAAUAAAAAGGCUGGAGACAAAUCUGUAUUUACAGGGCAAUUAUUUCUUCUCCAUUUAAGCCGAGUCUGGCAUUUGCUUUCUUUUUCACUUGUUAAGGCACAGCUGAAGGGCCGGGGCAGGAGCCCUGAGGAGUAGAACCAUGUUUCAGCCACAGUGUGUAAUGGGCAGUGGGGAUUCACCUGCGUCCCUGCACCGUUCAGAGGAGCACUGCUGGGCUCUGUGGAUGUGUGUUCAUGGCAACAAGGUGAGCCUGGCUUGAGGCAUCACAGUGAAGAUCCUAAGUUGUCUCUUUCUCAUCUAGAAACACAGAAAGUCAUGGCAUAACAGUAUAAAAAUCAGAAAUGCCCUUGGUAUUCGUCCAGCUCCACCAGUACAGCUGCUGGAUGGGCUCACAGCAAGCAAAGCAGCGAGGGGAUGUUUGAUUUCCAGCACGUGCUUGAGACUGAACUGGUGCAGCAGAAAAGUUUGUACUUCAUCUCUGUCCACUUGCAGAAAUGGGUGAAUGCAGCUGUCAAGGUGAUGUGUUGGAAGCUUCUCAUGAAAUGUCUAAGAGAGACUUGGUAACUGAAAAUUCAUAAAAGUGUAUCCUUCUGCCUGGAAGCAAAUAUCAGCUAAAUUUAAUAAACUGACUGAUA
ensembl:lncRNA